rnacentral:rRNA from 1 species
UAGGGAAUAUUGCAAAAUGGGCGAAAGCCCGAUGCAGCAGCGCCGCGUGGGCGAUGAAGGCCUUCGGGUCGUAAAGCCCUUUUUGAGAGGAUGAGGAAGGACAGUACCCUCAGAAUAAGCCUCGGCUAACUACGUGCCAGCAGCCGCGGUAAAACGUAGGAGGCGAGCGUUAUCCGGAUUUACUGGGCGUAAAGCGCGUGCAGGCGGAUUGGAGAGUUGGAUGUGAAAGCUCCCGGCUUAACUGGGAGAGGUCGUUCAAUACUUCCAUUCUUGAGUGCAGUAGAGGGAAGUGGAAUUCCGGGUGUAGUGGUGAAAUGCGUAGAUAUCCGGAGGAACACCAGUGGCGAAAGCGGCUUCCUGGACUGUAACUGACGCUCAGACGCGAAAGCUAGGGUAGCAAACG